rnacentral:rRNA from 1 species
UUAAAUUGAAGAGUUUGAUCAUGGCUCAGAUUGAACGCUGGCGGCAGGCCUAACACAUGCAAGUCGAACGGUAACAGGAAGCAGCUUGCUGCUUCGCUGACGAGUGGCGGACGGGUGAGUAAUGUCUGGGAAACUGCCUGAUGGAGGGGGAUAACUACUGGAAACGGUAGCUAAUACCGCAUAACGUCGCAAGACCAAAGAGGGGGACCUUCGGGCCUCUUGCCAUCGGAUGUGCCCAGAUGGGAUUAGCUAGUAGG